rnacentral:pre_miRNA from 11 species
GAGAGACACCGAGAGGCAGCAAGAAAAAUGAGGGACUUUCAGGGGCAGCUGUGUUUUACUAACCCAGUCAUAAUGCCCCUAAAAAUCCUUAUUGUUCUUGCAAUGUUCAGCUAUGAUCACCA